rnacentral:rRNA from 1 species
UACGUAGGGACCGAGCGUUGUCCGGAAUCAUUGGGCGUAAAGAGCGUGUAGGCGGCCACUUAAGUCCUGCGUGAAAUCUUGCGGCUCAACCUCGAGACGUCGGUUGAAACCGUAUGGCUAGAGUCCGGAAGAGGAGAGUGGAAUUCCCGGUGUAGCGGUGAAAUGCGCAGAUAUCGGGAAGAACACCCGUGGCGAAGGCGGCUCUCUGGGACGGUACUGACGCUGAGACGCGAAAGCGUGGGGAGCGAACAGG